GCACAACUGCACAUCGCACACCUGCUGGUUGAAAAAACGUCCCCUGAAGACACACAGCCCGGAAACUGCAGACCCGGGCUCCGAGGCCUUUGUCUCAGCUCCGGAUGCUUGCUUUUCCCUUCUUCUGUGAGCUGCCCCUCUCCUUCGCUCUCCUCUCCCCGGCAGUUCCUCCUCCCCUCCGCUUCUCCAGGCUCCCAGGGGCCAGUCUGCUUCUCUCCCCUGUGCACCGGCGACCAGGGAGGGCAGAAGGCGGCAUCCGUCCUGUGCUGCGAGCCUCUUAGCCAGACAAGCCAGACACCCGGUGACCUCCCGGAAAGACCCGAAGGCCACAGUUCCUGUUGGGAGGAGAAAGCUGGCCAGCGCCCAACCUUAAGUGUCAUCUCCGCGCCCUCUGGCAGGUCCUAAAGCCCACUGCGUGUCAGGUGCUCUGGGGACAGCAGUGACCAGGACUGGCCCAGUCUGCACCCGAGAAGGGCUUGCACUCCAGCAGGGGACGCAGGUACUGAAUACUUAAGGACAAGUGUGAUGAAUGUGACAGGAGGAAGCAGGGGGUGCUUGGGGGCAAUGACAAGGUGAGCUAAGCUGUUUGGGAAUUAGCGAGGCUUCCGUGGAGAAGUGACCUGUAGGGUGGGGUCUGAGGAACGAUGAGGAGGACCUAAUCCAGGGGGACAAUGGGAGAGGUGAAGGCCCUGAGUGGAAAAGAACAUUGGGGCCGGCACUGUGGAGUAGCGAGUAAAGCCGCCAC
rnacentral:lncRNA from 1 species